ACUGGUGAAUGGGGAGGCAGGAGAACCAUGCACUUCCUCUGCCAGGGACACCUGAUAAUUGAGUUCCAGCAGUGUUUAGGAACACGAGAAGCUGGCUUGUGCUGAGUCACAGCAUUGGUCCAUUUAGCUCAGUGUUCUGUACACUGACUGGCAAAAGCAGAUUUCCAUAGUUUCAGGCAGGGGUCUCUCCCAGCCCUACCUAGAAAUGUCAUUGGGGAUUGAACCCAGGAAAAAAGAAAUCUUCCUUAAACUGAAUCAGAGAUAUUGGUCCAUCAAACUCAUUACUAUCCAUACCGACAGGGACUGAACCCGGGAGAUCCUGCAUGUCAAUCAGAUACUCUGCUGCUGACCUAAGAUUCUAGUUCUUAUAGAGUAAGGGCUGGAUUCAAUAGGAACAUAGUAAUCUGCUUUGCACUAGCAGAUCUAUGUGGUUGUCAUGCUGACAGCUCUUGGCAGCCACCAUAGCAAUGCCAUCCAACUGUUCUCUCUCUCACUCAACUCUCUCCCCAUUCACACAAAAUGCGCCAUCGCAGCUGAAUACAAGCACAUUUCACACUUCUCUGCCCACCCACCAGCACCGCACUCCCGUCAGUAGCAUUUACACUUCCUUCACAAGCAGGGCAAAAGUAAAAAAAUAAAAACCGGCAAUGUUCAAUUAUCAUAACUUAAGCUUCUAGCAGAUGGUGAAAGAAUGCAGGAAUGUGGGGGCAAAGAACAUGUAAUGUGGAGGGUUGUAAUGGUCAGUUUUGUUUUGUUUUGUUUUGUUUGUUUUGUCAAGUAGUUUUGCUUGCAUAAAGAGCUGGCUUUGAAAGAACUGAACUGGUGCAUGCUUCCUCCCUUCAGCGGUAAAAAUAAAACUGAUAACACACUUUCAAAGAGAGCAGGGGCAGUUGACCGGCCUUCUUGAUGCUGUUGGAAUACAACCCUCACCAUCUGAGAAUACUGGCUGGGCAGGGGGCUCAGGCUGAUGGGAACUGGAGUCUUACAACAUCUGGAGGGCCACAUGUUCCAGAGCAGUGAAUCAAGAAGAGGAAUUAUCCUUUCUCAUAUGGGAAUGCCUCUCCUAAAUAGAAGCAGUCUUCCAUCUAUUGCAUUCAUCCAACUUUUGAGAAGGCCCAGGCUUUUGGAAAUGAAUCGUACAAAAGCUUCUCUGUUAAAAAGCAAUCCACAGGUUUCCUGCAUCUGUAUCCUGGGGACACCAAGUGAAUGAUAAUAAUUUGCAAUAACUGGUAUUCUGAGGCAUCUUACCUCUGGCAGGGGAAGCAGGAUGCUACAAAGCCUUCCAAAACCGAGUCCAGGGCUGGCAAAUUUGAAAGUAAGUUCCCAGGUCUGCUGGAAUCUUUAUUUUAUUUUUAGGCUUGCUUCCUAAGAAUGCAGCAACCAGUCUCGCCACUCCCAACACCCUAACAAAAGGCCUUAGAGCAGACUCAUCUCACUCACCCACCCCCAGGGACAGCAACAGAAAGUUACGCUAAUUCGCAAUUAAAAUCUCUUCAGAUGCCAUUAAAUAUUGAAGAAAAAGGACUCAGCAGGUUUUG